rnacentral:rRNA from 1 species
GAUGAACGCUGGCGGCGUGCCUAAUACAUGCAAGUCGAGCGAACAGACGAGGAGCUUGCUCCUCUGACGUUAGCGGCGGACGGGUGAGUAACACGUGGAUAACCUACCUAUAAGACUGGGAUAACUUCGGGAAACCGGAGCUAAUACCGGAUAACAUGUUGAACCGCAUGGUUCAACGGUGAAAGACGGUCUUGCUGUCACUUAUAGAUGGAUCCGCGCCGCAUUAGCUAGUUGGUAAGGUAACGGCUUACCAAGGCAACGAUGCGUAGCCGACCUGAGAGGUGGACCGGCCACACGGGAACUGAGACCCGGUCCAGACCCCAACGGGGGGCAGCAGGAGGGAAUCUUCCGCAAUGGGCGAAAGCCUGACGGAGCAACGCCGCGGGAGUGAAGAAGGUUUGCGGAUCGUAAAACCCUUUUAUUGGGGAAAAACAAAUGUGUAAGUAACUAUGCACGUUUUGACGGUACCUAACCAGAAAGCCCCGGCUAACUACGG